rnacentral:rRNA from 1 species
AACGAACGCUGGCGGCAUGCCUAACACAUGCAAGUCGAACGAGACCUUCGGGUCUAGUGGCGCACGGGUGCGUAACGCGUGGGAAUCUGCCCUUGGGUUCGGAAUAACAGUUAGAAAUGACUGCUAAUACCGGAUAAUGUCUUCGGACCAAAGAUUUAUCGCCCAGGGAUGAGCCCGCGUAGGAUUAGCUAGUUGGUGAGGUAAAGGCUCACCAAGGCGACGAUCCUUAGCUGGUCUGAGAGGAUGAUCAGCCACACUGGAACUGAGACACGGUCCAGACUCCUACGGGAGGCAGCAGUGGGGAAUUUUGGACAAUGGGGGCAACCCUGAUCCAGCAAUGCCGCGUGAGUGAAGAAGGCCUCGGUUGUAAAGACUCUUUUGUUCAGGGAAGGAAACGGUAGGAUUCUAAUACAGAUUGCUAAUGACGGUACCUGAAGAAUAAGACACCGGCUAACUAACGUGCCAGCAGCCGCGGUAAGU